rnacentral:rRNA from 1 species
UCACGACUCUCGACAACGGAUAUCUCGACUCUCGCCACGAUGAAGAACAUAGCGAAAUGCGAUACUUAGUGUGAAUUGCAGAAUCCCGUGAAUCAUCAAGUCUUUGAACGCAAGUUGCGCCUGAGGCCUCGGUCAAGGGCAUGUCUACCUGGGCGUCGCAU